CAAAGUUUCAUGUAUACAUGUAGAAGAUGAGCGAUCUUCCUGAGGAAAUAGAAAGAGCACUACAAGCGUUUGACGAUUCAGUCUCUAAUAUUCAAAGUACUUUACAGCCGCUUUUGAAAGCCAAUUACUCAGAACUUUUAACAAAAUUAGAUGCGCCUCAGCGAGCUCGCUUUGACUUACUGUUAGCGUACACCGUUUCCAGUUUAUUUUGGAUGUAUUUAACCGCUUCCGGAGUUGCGCCACAGUCCCAUCCAGUGAAACAAGAACUUGAAAGAAUUAAAGAAUACAUGGGAAAAUUAAAAAAAGCUAUUGAAGAAAAAGAACUUAAAAAGAAUUUUCAAAUAAAUGUUCCUGCUACUCAAAGAAUGUUAAGAAACGCUUUAUGGGCACCAUCUAGCACCGAAAACUUAGAGAAGCCGAGGGAACCGAAAGAAGCAAGUCAUAGUUUCUUAACUGAAAAAAAUAAAAAGGAGGAGCCCCUUCUUAAAAAGCGUGUAACAGCAAGUACAAAAUCUG